rnacentral:lncRNA from 1 species
CUCGAUCUCGAUCACCUCCAUCUCGUGAUGCCCACGAUCUCCCCUCUCUUCUUCCCACCCGGCCAGGCAGGGAAGCCGUUUAAUGAUCCGCCGCCGGCCGUGCUCGCGCGGGGUAGGGAGGCUGCCGCCGACCGUGCUCGCGCGGGAGGAGAGAGGCCGCCUCCAUCUGGCCGCCGCCGGCCGUUCUUGCGGGGGAGGAAGGAGGUUGUCUCCAUCUAGCCGCCGUCGGACGCGUCCACGCGGAGGAGCUAUCACCAUCGCCUCUCGUUUCCCCACGCCGCACAAGGUAGGCCAUGUCCACCUCGAGUCCAUCUCGGGAGAAGAUGCUCCCCUGCGUUGACCCCCUGCAGUCGUGAUUCAUCUGCUCCAUAAUAUCUGUAUACACAACAAAUAAUCUCUAUCUGCAGGCCGUAGUGAAUUGCAGUGCCUCAAGAACAAUUUACCCUAGCAAAGCACGAGUUGUGGCACAAACCAAACAAAGCAUAGAUUUCUUAUGGUUGCCAAUACGCGGUGCACAGUGUCGUAUGUGCGCCUUUUCAGUAUGGGCGUGCGUCAUCGCGCGUGUGUCUGCGGACGGCUCCGUCAC